GACGAACGCUGGCGGCGUGCUUAACACAUGCAAGUCGAACGGUAAGGCCCUUCGGGGUACACGAGUGGCGAACGGGUGAGUAACACGUGGGUGAUCUGCCCUGCACUUCGGGAUAAGCCUGGGAAACUGGGUCUAAUACCGGAUAGGACCCUGGGAUGCAUGUCCUGGGGUGGAAAGCUUUUGCGGUGUGGGAUGGGCCCGCGGCCUAUCAGCUUGUUGGUGGGGUGAUGGCCUACCAAGGCGACGACGGGUAGCCGGCCUGAGAGGGUGACCGGCGACACUGGGACUGAGAUACGGCCCAGCCUCCUACGGGAGGCAGCAGUGGGGAAUAUUGCACAAUGGGCGCAAGCCUGAUGCAGCGGCGCCGCGUGAGGGAUGACGGCCUUCGGGUUGUAAACCUCUUUCAGCACCGACGAAGCGCAAGUGACGGUAGGUGCAGAAGAAGGACCGGCCAACUACGUGCCAGCCGCCGCCGUAA
rnacentral:rRNA from 1 species